AAGACAGAUCAAUCCAAACUUCAGAGGCUAACUUUAAAGGCCUUACUAGACUAAGGCAUUAGACAAAGAAGGAGAAUAUUAUUUCGUUUUAUGCAACGAAAAGAGAUGCCACUUGGACUAUUAGCGUUAUUAACAACACUAUUUUGGGGAUUAGAGAGCCAAAUUCCUCCUUUCAAUACCACAGUUGCACUAGAUGGAAGUGGAGAUUUCAAGUCCAUAACAGAGGCAUUACAGUCAGCUCCUGAUAACAGUGAAAGAAGA